GUGUGAUAUAUUUGGUAAAGAUAUUGAUUUUAAUGCUAAAAUUGCUUUAUUGUCAACUUUUGAUAACACAGAUUUGGACUAUUACUUGAAAGAAUUAAUCACCAAUUUUACGACAAGUGCCAGAAUAUUAAUAGCUAGGUUCUGGAAAGACAAAAAUGAUAUAUAGAAGAUUGGUAUAGUGAAGUAUGGGACCUUUAUUAAAUGUAUAUAGACAUUACAGUGGUGCCUCGCUAGACAAUGAUAAUGUGUUCCACUGAAAUCGCUGUUUAGUGAAAUUAUUGUCUAGCAAAAAGCAAAUCGUCGUCUAGCAAAAAUAGGUUUGCGAAGCAGGGACCAAACAUUGUCCAGCAAAAUUCCCCCAUAGGAAUCACUGUUUUGCAAAUCGCUAUAGCGUUCGCAAAAAGCCAAUGUCUAGCGAAAAAACUGUCAUGUGGAGUAACUGACUAGCGAGGCACCACUGUAGUUUGUUAGUUAGUAGGUUUUAUUAUGUAUGUUUUUUACUGUGUUUUAUUACUCAUGUAAGCUGCCCCGAGUAGACUUUGUCUGGAGGGGCGGGGUAUAAGUUCAGUAAAAGUAAAGUAAAGUAAAGGAUAAAUUGACUAUUGAACUCAAAAUAAAAAGAGGGGAAAUAAAUUCUAACAAUUUUAUGAUAUUUGGGGUAAAUUUGUGGAAUUUGUGUUAGUGAAAGGAAGGGGGAAAGCCUAUAAAGAAUACUCUACACAAUUUUGGAGAGGUAGUCCAUAAUUAAAAUAUUGUUAAAUGGAGUCCCGUGGGUAUGGGGUGCACAUUAGAAUUUAGUUUAUAAUAAGGACUUCUGUAUUAUUUGUUUUGUAUGCAUUUGAAAUGGGUCUUGCACACUCAGUUCCUUUUCUUCCAGAUGGUUUUUCUAUCUUGACACCCCUCCUAAAUAAAGUUUUGAACAUUCCUGUUCUACUUGACAAAACUACAUGUCUUCCUUCUGGAAGAGGUUUUGUGAUGAGGUGAAUAAGAGGACAAGUGGAAUUCUGUGGAGGCAGUCGUUCUUUCAGUGUGGAAAAAAAUUACUGUGAAGGACAAAAAAAUUGACACACUUAAAAGGCAGAAAAGGAAAGAACGGAAGGCAGAGAACAAGAGGGGAAAAGAAAUCUCCAGCUCUUCCUACUGAUGUUGAUGCACUUCUGAUCAUCUGAAAAAAUCAACAGGGAAAAGGAAGGAGAAAAGGUUCCCUGGGCAGAUAAACAUUCAGGGGUGCCUCAGAUGACAAUAGACUUGACAAAGUGCACCCAGAUGAGAAACAAAUUCAAUGCAUUA
rnacentral:lncRNA from 1 species